rnacentral:rRNA from 1 species
GACGGAGGGUGCUAGCGUUGUUCGGAAUCACUGGGCGUAAAGGGCGCGUAGGCGGCCUCAUGUGUCGGAUGUGAAAGCCCGGGGCUCAACCCCGGAGGUGCAUCCGAAACUCUGGGGCUGGAGGUCGGAAGAGGAGGGUGGAAUACCCAGUGUAGAGGUGAAAUUCGUAGAUAUUGGGUGGAACACCGGUGGCGAAAGCGGCUCUCUGGUCCGGACCUGACGCUGAGGCGCGAAAGCGUGGGGAGCAAACAGG